GUAGGUGGCAAGCGUUGUCCGGAAUUAUUGGGCGUAAAGCGCGCGCAGGCGGUCCUUUAAGUCUGAUGUGAAAGCCCACGGCUCAACCGUGGAGGGUCAUUGGAAACUGGGGGACUUGAGUACAGAAGAGGAAAGCGGAAUUCCAAGUGUAGCGGUGAAAUGCGUAGAGAUUUGGAGGAACCCCAGUGGCGAAGGCGGCUUUCUGGUCUGUAACUGACGCUGAGGCGCGAAAGCGUGGGGAGCAAACAGGAUUAGAUACCCUGGUAGUCCACGCCGUAAACGAUGAGUGCCAAGUGUUAGGGGGUUUCCCGCCCCCCUUAGUGCUGCAGCUAACGCGUUAAGCACUCCGCCUGGGGAGUACGGCCGCAAGGCUG
rnacentral:rRNA from 1 species